CACGUAGGGUGCGAGCGUUGUCCGGAAUUAUUGGGCGUAAAGAGCUCGUAGGCGGUGUGUCGCGUCGGCCGUGAAAACCUGCAGCUUAACUGUGGGCUUGCGGUCGAUACGGGCAUCACUGGAGUUCGGCAGGGGAGACUGGAAUUCCUGGUGUAGCGGUGAAAUGCGCAGAUAUCAGGAGGAACACCGGUGGCGAAGGCGGGUCUCUGGGCCGAUACUGACGCUGAGGAGCGAAAGCGUGGGGAGCGAACGGG
rnacentral:rRNA from 1 species